rnacentral:rRNA from 1 species
CUUUUUGAUUAUGAUUUAAGGUCGGACCUGCCCAAUGAUGUAAAWGUUAAAYGGCCGCGGUAUUUUGACCGUGCAAAGGUAGCAUAAUCACUAGUUUUUUAAUUGAAAGCUGGWAUGAAAGGUUUAAYGAGAAAAUAACUGUCUCUACUUAAAUUAUAUAGAAUUUUAUUUUUAAGUUAAAAAGCUUAAAUAUUUAUAAAAGACGAGAAGACCCUGUAGAGUUUUAUAUUUUAGUGAUUUUAUGAAUUUAGUAUUUUAUGAUUAAAUAUUAUUAAAGUAUUUAGUUGGGGUGAUUGAAAAAUUAAAUAAACUUUUUUUUUAUUAGAACAUUGAUUAAUGAGUAUAUGAUCCUUUUUUUAAAGAUUAAAAGAUUAAAUUACCUUAGGGAUAACAGCGUAAUUCUUUUUUAGAGCCCAAAUCAAUGAAAGAGAUUGCGACCUCGAUGUUGGAUUAAAAUAAAAUUUUGAUGUAGCAGUUAAA